UCCAUUGCUAUCACUGUUUACAUUACUAUUCCAGACCUCCAUCCUACAGGUAUCAUUGGCCAGUGGAAUGCACGAUGGCCUGAUCCUUUGCAUAUCCUAGAAUGGGUCUUUUUGCCUCACCAGCC